rnacentral:lncRNA from 1 species
AUCUUCUGAUACAUAUGCAGCUAGAGACAUGAGCUCCAGGGGUUACUGGUUAGUUCAUAUUGUUGUUCCACCUAUAGGGUUGCAGACACCUUUAGCUCCUUAUAGCUGUCUUUUGUGAGGCUAUGCCAGGGCCUAGCAAACACAGAAGUGGAUGCUCACAGUCAGCUAUUGGAUGGAUCACAGGGCCCCCAAUGGAGGAGCCAGAUUGGCUUUUCUUACUGCCCCAGAGAAGUCUCUAGCUGCAUCCAACAGCAUGCUCUCUAGUAUAUUACAUUGAAAUUGGGCCAAUAUUUUCUGUGUGACUCAUUGUGCCUUUAAACUUUGCAUUUUCAAUGUAUAGCCUGAUGUUGGUCCAUGGUGGAUAUACACUGAGUUCAGUUCAAGGAAUUGCUGGGUACUGUCCAAGGAAGAUGCAGGCAGUCUUGCUACAGCUGCUUCUUUAGCAUACUUUGACUAAAGGAGAUUCAUAUUUCACAUAAUCCUGUUGUAAAGUAAUAUAUGUAAGUGAGAGAGUCUGAUUUUAAACUAAUGGAGAUGGGGACUCUAUCUCAGGAAUGGGAGAUCAUGAAAUCUCAAAGAUUUUCCUUUUUGUUGCAGUGCAUUUUGGCUCAUGUUUGAGGGGAUAUUUGUGUUUUAAAAUGAGCCUUCAGUCAUUUCUCUCUAUAAGUGAGUAAACCUUGCUGUUUCCUUUAUGAUAGUCUCUUGAUAUAACGUAAAAAAUUUACCAUAUUAUCUGUUUCAUAUGAAGCCAAAACUAUUUGGUAUGUUUAAAUAUUACUGUAAUAAUAGUUUUCAACAAGUUACAUCUAUAUUUUGUGUGCUUUGGUCUGUGAUCAUAACAAUCUAAUCUUCAUUGCUCCCAUGAAACACCCAAAUUUCUUUUCAUACUGGUGUGUCUUCCCAGAUGUUGAUUAUAUAGGUCCUAGCAAUCUUUAAUGUUUUUUAUGGUUCUUUGACUUUGAUUUAGACAUAUUACUCUCCUAUUUAUCUCAUAAAUAUUCUUUAAUAUUUUACCUUGACUUGGGACAUAAUAUGGAUAUCUUAUUUCUAUAGUAACUUAUGGAUAAAUAAUUGCUCUAUUACUGCAUGGAAAAAGACAUUUGGAUUUUAGAAUCCCAAAUAUUUCACAAAAUAAUCUUUAGAAGUAGUGAUUUAAUAUUUGUAAUGUAUGUAGUUUGCAUACAAAUAAUAGCUAUUAGACUGUUGAAGGUAGCAUUUAAACCACGGGAUACUGGAUUGCUCAUUUCCUGUUGGCGCUUUUCCAUAUAACUGCGAAACAAUUGUCUAAAAGCUAUGUAUUUCUGUCUCGUUUUAUUAAACAGUAUCCUGUGAAAUCAUGUUUGGAUAGCGUUUAUUUUGUUUUUAACUUGGAUAUCUUAACAGAUUGGUAAUCUUCUUUCACAUUAUGUUAUCAUACCUUAUUCUGUAAACAUACCCUGUAUAGCUCGCAAUUUAAAUUUAUCUCUGCCCUCUGUGUGAGCCAUCACCUUCCUCGUUAGUGACUGCUGUACCUUGGGGCAUGUAAGCUUUGGCUUUGGUAGUUAUUGACAAUAUUUUGGGGGAUGACUAUGCACUGGUAGUGGCUGCCUUACCUUCAUUCUUCCUUUCUGUGUUUCCCAGGUUGGUAGAGAACUUAUAAGAGUUCAUCCAUUUCUCCCUCCUCAGUUUCUCAAGCAACAGAAUACUCUCGUGCAUCCUCCAUACACAGCCCCUGCUUUAUUUUAAACAGAUUUUGCAACAACGAAAAGGCCUUUUGAAAUAAUCUCCCACUAAAGUGUUCCUUAACGUUAAUUCUGAGAGGAAGACCAACUGGGUUAGAAGGCAGUUCUUUUGGCAAUCAUUUUUAUUAGUGGAUCUUUAAAUCAGAAAUGAAUAAUAGUCUCAUAUCAAGAAAAUAAUGAUGAUGACUGAUUCAUCUAAGAAUUCUAUGAAACAGCUUAUAUAUAAAUGUACUGAAGAGGAAUUAGUUUUCAUAAGUAUUUCAUAAUUGUCAAUGGUAUAAUGUUUAUCUUUACUGUUUUGUUUUUUGGGGAAUGAUUAAAAGAAAGAUAAGGUCUCUUCUUCUUAAGGUACUGAAAUUAAAAUAUGAAUAGGUACUUUAUCAUCUGUUCUGACGUUUUUAUCUACACCAUACAAAGAGAGACACGGAAGCAAACUGGCAUUAAAACUCUGAGCAGCUAAUUUGUUACAUUAAGUUUUGAUUAAUGAUGCUUGAAUUGAAACAGGAAUUUCAGCAUGCUCCCUUCAUUAUUAUUCUGUCAAUACGUAUUUAUGUGAUUAUAUGUUAGAUAUUAAAGAUGAUUAGAGAGGCAUUUACCUGGAACUUGAAAUAGUAUACUUUGGUUUCUUUCUUGCCUCUCACUGCACAUGGGACCAAACUUCUCCCAAUUUGACUUCCUGCUUUCAAUUGCAUAAUUUACAUGGGCAACCUAAUUGUAAACAAAGAAACAACAAAACAAAAGACAUAGUUUUGUUUUCAGUAUCAAUGUAAAGUUCAAUAUACUCCUUGAGAUAUUUAAUGGCAUUAAUCAGAUAUUUUGUGAAGUCACCCUUUAUGUUAGACAAGCUGAUAGACAGUUUCUUUGCUCAUAGGCUCAGUGUCCAGGAACUGAUAGAUAUUAAACCACCCAAAUGAAUAGGAUCUCUGAUAAUUGAUGAGAAUCAAUAUUUAUCAUGGAGGAUGUGAAAAAAAGCAAUGGGAUGGAUUUAGACUGAAAGUAAGAGAGUUUCACUGAAACCCAAAGAGCAAGCACAAUGAACCCUGUGGAGAACUAAGCAGAGUCUAAUGUUACAGGCCAAGGUCAGAGUAUAGAGAAGAGCCCUGAAACACACUACGGAGGCAUCCAGGGUAUGAACUGGGAUGAGGUUGGAAAACUAGACCCAGACGAUAUCAGAAAAACACUGAUGUCAAUGUUUGAGCCUUUAUUAUAACUCC